rnacentral:rRNA from 1 species
GCAGUAUUACUGUGCUAAGGUAGCAUAAUAACUUGCUUCUUAAUUAGGAGAUCGCAUGAAGGGUUAUACAUUAGGAUCCUGUCUCUUUUAACCAAAUAAACUUAAGUAAAAAGUAAAAACUCUUUUAACCAAAGCGGGACGACAAGACCCUGACAAACUUAACAUUUAGUUGGGGAAACAAAAUAAUAAAUAUUUAUUCAUAACUUAAACAUAACUUUAAAAUAAAAACAAGACUAGUUACUGCAGGGAUAACAGCGUUAUUUCUUUUAAGAGCUCUGAUCUAAAAAGAAGAUUACGACCUCGAUGUUGAAUUAAUUCCGCUAUACGGGUGCAACAACCCUAUAAGGUAGUCUGUUCGACUAUUAAAAAAUU